AGAUUGAACUGAAGAGUUUGAUCCUGGCUCAGAUUGAACGCUAGCGGGAUGCUUUACACAUGCAAGUCGAACGGCAGCGCAGGGAGCUUGCUCCCGGGCGGCGAGUGGCGAACGGGUGAGUAAUGUAUCGGAACGUGCCCAGUAGCGGGGGAUAACUACGCGAAAGCGUGGCUAAUACCGCAUACGCCCUACGGGGGAAAGAGGGGGAUCGCAAGACCUCUCACUAUUGGAGCGGCUGAUAUCGGAUUAGCUGGUUGGUGGGGUAAAGGCCCACCAAGGCGACGAUCCGUAGCUGGUUUGAGAGGACGACCAGCCACACUGGGACUGAGACACGGCCCAGACUCCUACGGGAGGCAGCAGUGGGGAAUUUUGGACAAUGGGGGCAACCCUGAUCCAGCCAUCC
rnacentral:rRNA from 1 species